rnacentral:rRNA from 1 species
AUGUAAAAUGACUCUCGGCAACGGAUAUCUCGGCUCUUGCAUCGAUGAAGAACGUAGCGAAAUGCGAUACUUGGUGUGAAUUGCAGAAUCCCGUGAACCAUCGAGUCUUUGAACGCAAGUUGCGCCCAAAGCCAUUAGGUUGAGGGCACGCCUGCCUGGGUGUCACA